AGUCUGCAUAUAAACAGUGUUAUCAAACAGAAAGGAAGGAUACAGGCCACACUUUCCCAAGCCCUCAAGGGAAGGCCCAGGAUUACAAAGCAAAUUCUAGAACAAAUUGGUCAGGCUAGGGUUGAGGUAGUGUUUCACAAACAAACACGUUCUAUCAGUGGACCUCCAAUUUUCCCACGCCCUCACCAUUGCCGUGUCGACAGACGUCGCACAUCUGGUUACAGCCCUCAUCAUCCCAGACCUCAUCGAAAUGACUUGCCAUGACCGUACGGCGGCACCUGUGGAGCGAUGGUCAAAUAAACAGAUCUCACCUCCUACAUUUGUAUCUUCCCUGAAAAUACUGUACCUGUCCAAAUUCUGGCAGUAGGCCACCAUCUGCAUCAGCUUCUGCUGGCCAACGUUCUCCAUGACAACCAUGGUACUGAUUCUGAAGAUGUCCGCAAAACCAAAGUACAGGAUGCAGUCCGCAGGCUUGUCAUCCCGCCCUGAUUACAGAAGACAAUGUUACACUGACACAUUUUUAUGAAGCCCACAGAAAAACUGUGUUUGGGCUGUCUCUUACUAUGUUGUUACAGUAUUCUAUUUUUGGAGUAAAAUUGUGAUUGAAAUUAUAGUGUUGAAAAGAAGGGGGGGGGGGAAGCUAGUUCAGUGUAAAUGUGUGUAAAGUUAGGGAUGGCUAAUUCUUACCAGUUAACUGUUAAAACAGUAUUUGAUCAUUACAUUUGGUCCACAUGUAAUGUCAAUCAUCAGCUUACUAAAUAAUUUACCACUGGCUUGCUGAAUGACUGAGCAUAGCCACUGCAUACAGAAUACAAAUGCACACAGAUUCUGUGUCAGUAUGAAUUAAAUGUGUGUGCGGGACUGCAUCUGCAGAGGUUGGUGGAUAUAGUACCUACAAUGGGUCCAUAAAAGGUGUGCUCAUUUAAAAUAUAGAUUGUACCUGCGCGGCCACUCUCCUGGUAGUAGUUCUCCAUUGACUUGCUGAUAGAGUGAUGAAUAACGAAUCUGACAUCAUUCUUGUUGAUUCCCAUCCCAAAUGCUACAGUCGCCACCACCACCUACAACCAUACAGUCCGAUAACCAUCUUCAACCUCACGUUCCCAUCAGUUUCUCAUUAUCAUUUAUACAGUUGUUUGUACCAACCAGGCGUAUACCUGGUUUAAUACCAUACACCAUCUGGACAUCAUUCUUUGUUACGCAUCUUGUGCAGUCACCUGAAUCUUGUUGUCGCUCCAGUGGCGGUGCACUUUGCUCUUGUCAGCAAAUUCCAUGUUGGCGUGAUAUGGCUGGGCCAUGAUGUCCUUCUUCUGCAGGACUGCAGACAGGGCCUCUGCCUCCUUUUGUGAAAACACAUAAACAAUUCCUGCAAAAAAAUUAAUUUAAUCCUUUUUAAAUAGAAAGCACACCAUGCACAUGCAAUCACAAUAAAAGAGCAAUUGGCUACCGUCUACAAUAAAUCUGUUAUAUUUUAUGAUUUCUACCAUUAGUUAGUUGUAUCCAUUCUAUCUCUCUUUUCCAAAUUUGUUGCAAUGCGAUUUGUGAUGAUUACUUCUGUAAAGACUACUAUGUAAAAUAAAUUUGAUGAACAAA